GAUGAACGCUAGCUACAGGCUUAACACAUGCAAGUCGCGGGGCAGCAUGGGGAUUGCUUGCAAUCCCCGAUGGCGACCGGCGCACGGGUGAGUAACGCGUAUCCAACCUGCCCUUCACCACGGGAUAACCCGGCGAAAGUCGGACUAAUACCGUAUGUUGUCCAUUGACGGCAUCCGAUUUGGACGAAAGGUUUGGCGGUGAAGGAUGGGGAUGCGUCCGAUUAGCUGGACGGCGGGGUGACGGCCCACCGUGGCGACGAUCGGUAGGGGUUCUGAGAGGAAGGUCCCCCACACUGGAACUGAGACACGGUCCAGACUCCUACGGGAGGCAGCAGUGAGGAAUAUUGGUCAAUGGGCGUAAGCCUGAACCAGCCAAGUAGCGUGCAGGAUGACGGCCCUAUGGGUUGUAAACUGCUUUUAUGCGGGGAUAAAGUGGCCCACGUGUGGGUUUUUGCAGGUACCGCAUGAAUAAGGACCGGCUAAUUCCGUG
rnacentral:rRNA from 1 species